rnacentral:lncRNA from 1 species
AAAGGGGUGAAAAUUUGGAUUCUGGGGGUAUUUUUGAAAAGAAAAUCGGAAAUCGGGGGGUCAAAACGUAAUUUAGAAAAGUUGUGCCACGUCAGCACCACGUCAGCAGCCCGGUCAGCAGCCCCGGCCAACCAGGACGCGCCGCGUGGCAAGGACACGCUGGCCAGGGGACGGGCCACGGGGGCGAUCCGCGUGCGCGCGAUAGGACGACCCAUAUCCGUUCCCGCGCGCACGGACGGCCCAGAUCAAACGUGCGCACGGACGGCCCAGAUUCACGCGCACGGACAGCCCAGAUUCAAUCAGGCACGGACGACCCAGAUUGCAUCGCGAUGAACGGCCUAGAUUUAAUCCCAAUUAAAUCGCAAUCGAACGGCCUAGAUUCAAUCUUGACGAACGG